GACGAACGCUGGCGGCGUGCUUAACACAUGCAAGUCGAACGAUGAAGCCUUUCGGGGUGGAUUAGUGGCGAACGGGUGAGUAACACGUGGGCAAUCUGCCCUGCACUCUGGGACAAGCCCUGGAAACGGGGGCUAAUACCGGAUAGCACCUCCCGAGGCAUCUUGGGGGGUUGAAAGCUCCGGUGGUGCAGGAUGAGCCCGCGGCCUAUCAGCUUGUGGGUGGGGUGAUGGCCUACCAAGGCGACGACGGGAGGCCGGCCUGAGAGGGCGACCGGCCACGCUGGGACUGGGACACGGCACAGCCUCCUACGGGAGGCAGCAGUGGGGAAUAUUGCACAAUGGGCGAAAGCAUGAUGCAGCGACGCCGCGUGAGGGAUGACGGCCUUCGGGUUGUAAACCUCUUUCAGCAGGGAAGAAGCGCAAGUGACGGUACCUGCAGAAGAAGCGCCGGCUAACUACGUGCCAGCCGCCGCGGUAA
rnacentral:rRNA from 1 species